GCACCGCCAUAAACCUUGAUAGACUAACCACAACCUCUAUCCGCCAGGGAACUACGAGCAUAAGCUUAAAACCCAAAGGACUUGGCGGUGCUUUAGACCCCCCUAGAGGAGCCUGUUCUAGAACCGAUAACCCCCGUUCGACCUCACCUUUUCUUGUUCAUCCCGUCUAUAUACCGCCGUCGUCAGCAUACCCUGUGAAGGAAACAUAGUAAGCAAAACUGGUAAGACCCAAAACGCCAGGUCGAGGUGUAGCACACGAAAAGGAAAGAAAUGGGCUACAUUUCCUCUUACAGGAAAUACGAAUUGUGUCAUGAAACAACACAUGAAGGAGGAUUUAGCAGUAAGCAGAAAACAGAGUGUUCUACUGAACCCGGCCCUGAAGCACGC
rnacentral:rRNA from 2 species